GAUGAAGAACGUAGUGAAAUGCGAUACUUGGUGUGAAUUGCAGAAUCCCGUGAACCAUCGAGUCUUUGAACGCAAGUUGCGCCCGAAGCCAUCAGGUUGAGGGCACGUCUGCCUGGGCGUCACAUAUCGUUGCUCGAUGCCUAUCGCAUUGCGAUAGGACUUAGGGCGAAUGAUGGCUUCCCGUGAGCGUUGUUGCCUCGCGGUUGGUUGAAAAUCGAGUCCUUGGUAGGGUGUGCCAUGAUAGAUGGUGGUCGAGUUAGCACGAGACCGUUCAUGUGCAUGCUCCCCAAAAUAUGGCCUCUGUGACCCACACGCGUCUUUUGACGCUCAUGACGAGACCUCAGGUCAGGCGGGGCUACCCGCUGAAUUUAAGCAUAUCAAUAAGCGGAGGA
rnacentral:misc_RNA from 1 species